CCAUUACCUCAACGGGGGGGUUUUCAGCCGUGUAUUCGGCUGAUUCCCGCCUGUUUGACGUUACCCAUGCCUUUUUGCGUACAGUUUGUUUUCCCAGCAGGGCACUUGUGCCCCUACGGGAUAUCAAUCCACCCAUGUAUUUGCAGUCAAUGUCUGAAAAUUAUAAUAAUUA
rnacentral:misc_RNA from 1 species